GGGUUGUGAGGUUAAGCGACUAAGCGUACACGGUGGAUGCCCUGGCAGUCAGAGGCGAUGAAGGGCGUGCUAAUCUGCGAUAAGCGCCGGUAAGGUGAUAUGAACCGUUAUAACCGGCGAUACCCGAAUGGGGAAACCCAGUGUGAUUCGUCACACUAUCAUUAACUGAAUCCAUAGGUUAAUGAGGCGAACCGGGGGAACUGAAACAUCUAAGUACCCCGAGGAAAAGAAAUCAACCGAGAUUCCCCCAGUAGCGGCGAGCGAACGGGGAGGAGCCCAGAGCCUGAAUCAGCAUGUGUGUUAGUGGAAGCGUCUGGAAAGGCGCGCGAUACAGGGUGACAGCCCCGUACACAAAAGCGCAUGUGCUGUGAGCUCGAUGAGUAGGGCGGGACACGUGGUAUCCUGUCUGAAUAUGGGGGGACCAUCCUCCAAGGCUAAAUACUCCUGACUGACCGAUAGUGAACCAGUACCGUGAGGGAAAGGCGAAAAGAACCCCGGCGAGGGGAGUGAAAAAGAACCUGAAACCGUGUACGUACAAGCAGUGGGAGCCCCACCACUAAGCCAGUGGUGAACUCCACAUACGCAUCCUUUGCUGAGGAUACGGUUAACGGAGCGAAAGCGACGUUCAACCUCAAAAGAAGCAGAGGGGGCUUAGUGGUGGGGUGACUGCGUACCUUUUGUAUAAUGGGUCAGCGACUUAUAUUCUGUAGCAAGGUUAACCGUAUAGGGGAGCCGGAGGGAAACCGAGUCUUAAUUGGGCGUUAAGUUGCAGGGUAUAGACCCGAAACCCGGUGAUCUAGCCAUGGGCAGGUUGAAGGUUGGGUAACACUAACUGGAGGACCGAACCGACUAAUGUUGAAAAAUUAGCGGAUGACCUGUGGCUGGGGGUGAAAGGCCAAUCAAACCGGGAGAUAGCUGGUUCUCCCCGAAAGCUAUUUAGGUAGCGCCUCGUGAAUUCAUCUCCGGGGGUAGAGCACUGUUUCGGCUAGGGGGCCAUCCCGGCUUACCAACCCGAUGCAAACUGCGAAUACCGGAGAAUGUUAUCACGGGAGACACACACACGGCGGGUGCUAACGUCCGUCGUGAAGAGGGAAACAACCCAGACCGCCAGCUAAGGUCCCAAAGUCAUGGUUAAGUGGGAAACGAUGUGGGAAGGCCCAGACAGCCAGGAUGUUGGCUUAGAAGCAGCCAUCAUUUAAAGAAAGCGUAAUAGCUCACUGGUCGAGUCGGCCUGCGCGGAAGAUGUAACGGGGCUAAACCAUGCACCGAAGCUGCGGCAGCGACGCUGAUGCGUUGUUGGGUAGGGGAGCGUUCUGUAAGCCUGUGAAGGUGGCCUGUGAGGGUUGCUGGAGGUAUCAGAAGUGCGAAUGCUGACAUAAGUAACGAUAAAGCGGGUGAAAAGCCCGCUCGCCGGAAGACCAAGGGUUCCUGUCCAACGUUAAUCGGGGCAGGGUGAGUCGACCCCUAAGGCGAGGCCGAAAGGCGUAGUCGAUGGGAAACGGGUUAAUAUUCCCGUACUUGGUGUUACUGCGAAGGGGGGACGGAGAAGGCUAUGUUGGCCGGGCGACGGUUGUCCCGGUUUAAGCGUGUAGGUGUGUGUUCCAGGUAAAUCCGGUUCACUUUAACACUGAGGCGUGACGACGAGGCACUACGGUGCUGAAGCAACAAAUGCCCUGCUUCCAGGAAAAGCCUCUAAGCAUCAGGUAACAUCAAAUCGUACCCCAAACCGACACAGGUGGUCAGGUAGAGAAUACCAAGGCGCUUGAGAGAACUCGGGUGAAGGAACUAGGCAAAAUGGUGCCGUAACUUCGGGAGAAGGCACGCUGACACGUAGGUGAAGUGAUUUACUCAUGGAGCUGAAGUCAGUCGAAGAUACCAGCUGGCUGCAACUGUUUAUUAAAAACACAGCACUGUGCAAACACGAAAGUGGACGUAUACGGUGUGACGCCUGCCCGGUGCCGGAAGGUUAAUUGAUGGGGUCAGCGCAAGCGAAGCUCCUGAUCGAAGCCCCGGUAAACGGCGGCCGUAACUAUAACGGUCCUAAGGUAGCGAAAUUCCUUGUCGGGUAAGUUCCGACCUGCACGAAUGGCGUAAUGAUGGCCAGGCUGUCUCCACCCGAGACUCAGUGAAAUUGAACUCGCUGUGAAGAUGCAGUGUACCCGCGGCAAGACGGAAAGACCCCGUGAACCUUUACUAUAGCUUGACACUGAACAUUGAGCCUUGAUGUGUAGGAUAGGUGGGAGGCUUUGAAGUGUGGACGCCAGUCUGCAUGGAGCCGACCUUGAAAUACCACCCUUUAAUGUUUGAUGUUCUAACGUGGACCCGUGAUCCGGGUUGCGGACAGUGUCUGGUGGGUAGUUUGACUGGGGCGGUCUCCUCCUAAAGAGUAACGGAGGAGCACGAAGGUUGGCUAAUCCUGGUCGGACAUCAGGAGGUUAGUGCAAUGGCAUAAGCCAGCUUGACUGCGAGCGUGACGGCGCGAGCAGGUGCGAAAGCAGGUCAUAGUGAUCCGGUGGUUCUGAAUGGAAGGGCCAUCGCUCAACGGAUAAAAGGUACUCCGGGGAUAACAGGCUGAUACCGCCCAAGAGUUCAUAUCGACGGCGGUGUUUGGCACCUCGAUGUCGGCUCAUCACAUCCUGGGGCUGAAGUAGGUCCCAAGGGUAUGGCUGUUCGCCAUUUAAAGUGGUACGCGAGCUGGGUUUAGAACGUCGUGAGACAGUUCGGUCCCUAUCUGCCGUGGGCGCUGGAGAACUGAGGGGGGCUGCUCCUAGUACGAGAGGACCGGAGUGGACGCAUCACUGGUGUUCGGGUUGUCAUGCCAAUGGCACUGCCCGGUAGCUAAAUGCGGAAGAGAUAAGUGCUGAAAGCAUCUAAGCACGAAACUUGCCCCGAGAUGAGUUCUCCCUGAGACUUAGAGUCUCCUGAAGGAACGUUGAAGACGACGACGUUGAUAGGCCGGGUGUGUAAGCGCAGCGAUGCGUUGAGCUAACCGGUACUAAUGAACCGUGAGGCUUAACCUUACAACGCCGAAG
rnacentral:rRNA from 1 species